rnacentral:rRNA from 1 species
UACGUAGGGUGCGAGCGUUAAUCGGAAUUACUGGGCGUAAAGCGUGCGCAGGCGGUUUUGUAAGCCAGAUGUGAAAUCCCCCGGGCUCAACCUGGGAAUGGCAUUUGGGACUGCAAGGCUGGAGUGCGGCAGAGGAGACUGGAAUUCCUGGUGUAGCAGUGAAAUGCGCAGAUAUCAGGAAGAACACCCGUGGCUAAGGCGGCUCUCUAGUACGGUACUGACGCUGAGACGCGAAAGCGUGGGGAGCGAACAGG